rnacentral:rRNA from 1 species
AUUGAACGCUGGCGGCAGGCCUAACACAUGCAAGUCGAGCGAGCGGCGGACGGGUGAGUAAUGUAUGGGGACUGCCCGAUAGAGGGGGAUAACUACUGGAAACGGUGGCUAAUACCGCAUACUAUCGGAUAACCCAUAUGGGAUUAGCUAGUGGGUGGGGUAAAGGCUCACCUAGGCGACGAUCUCUCGCUGGUCUGAGGGGAUGAUCAGCCACACGGGUACUAAGACCCGACCCAGACUCCUACGGAGGCAGCAGUGGGGAAUUUUGCACAAUGGGCACUAGCCUGAAGCAGCCAUGCCGCGUGUGUGUAGAAGGCCUUGGGGUUGUAAAGUGCUUUCAGCGUGGAGACGUUACCCGCAGAAGAAGCGCCGGCUAUCUCCGUGCCGGCAGCCGCGGUAAUAC